rnacentral:tRNA from 1 species
UCCCUAGUGGCUCAGAGGUUAAAGCGUCUGCCUGGAAUGCGGGAGACCUGGGUUCGAUCUCUGGGUCGGGAA